GUUUGAUCCUGGCUCAGGACGAACGCUGGCGGCGUGCCUAAUGCAUGCAAGUCGCACGCACCCUUCGGGGUGAGUGGCGCACGGCUGAGGAACACGUGGGAAUCUGCCCUUCGGUGGGGGAUAACCCGGAGAAAUCCGAGCUAAUCCCGCAUACGCUCUGCAAAGAGGAAAGCGGCAACGCGCCGAAGGAGGAGCCCGCGGCCCAUCAGGUCGUUGGUGGGGUAACGGCCUACCAAGCCAAUGACGGGUAGCUGGUCUGAGAGGACAGACAGCCAGACUGGGACUGAGAACGGCCCAGACUCCUACGGGAGGCAGCAGCAAGGAAUUUUCGUCAAUGGGCGCAAGCCUGAACGAGCAACGCCGCGUGUGGGAUGACGGCCUUCGGGUUGUAAACCACUUUUGAGGGGGACGAUCAUGACGGUACCCCUGGAAUAAGCCCCGGCUAACUCUGUGCCAGCAGCCGCGGUAAUACAGAGGGGGCAAGCGUUGUCCGGAAUUACUGGGCGUAAAGCGUACGCAGGUGGCCGUGCAAGUGUGAUGUGAAAGCCCCGCGCUUAACGCGGGGAGGCCAUUACAGACUGCAUAGCUCGAGGGAUGCAGAGGGUCGUGGAAUUGCCGGUGUAGUGGUGAAAUGCGUAGAGAUCGGCAGGAACACCAAGGACGAAGGUAGCGACCUGGGCACCACCUGACACUCAUGUACGACAGCGUGGGGAGCGAACCGGAUUAGAUACCCGGGUAGUCCACGCCGUAAACGAUGGAUGCUCGGCGUGUGGCGGCUAUCAACGCCGCUGGGCGCCUCAGCUGACGCGGAAGCAUCCCGCCUGGGAACUACGAGCGCAAGCUUAAAACUCAAAGGAAUUGACGGGGGCCCGCACAAGCAGCGGAGCGUGUGGUUU
rnacentral:rRNA from 1 species